UUAGAAUAUGUAAUUGCGGAAAUACUCUUUCCAUAAGUUACAUAUCCAAAGUCAUUUUAUUUUUUAACAUUUUCAUUUUAUCUCUUACUAGAGUGGCUCACGGUACAAGACCCUACCAAGGUCAUGUCUCUGUUUCGGGAAUCUAUUCUUAGCCAUCAUGAAAGUAAGAAUCCCUUACUUCUCAGCAUAAAUAUUAGAAAGAGCCCUGCUGAACAAGACGCUGCGCUCAUCUGCUUCUAUAAGAAGCCGAAUGUGGAAUGGGCAUGACCCUUGAAUUGCAGACUUGAAGGUGAUGCAGCCAUUGGAGAGGGUGUGAGUCACUUUUUCCUCUCAACUUGCAUGAACAAGCUAAAGUCUGGGUUUUGCUUCAACUUUGCAAACACUGCUGUUACACAUCUCUUUGAUGGACAGCCAGGCCAUUUAGUGCCCUCAGCCUCUCAGUUUCUCGUGGAAAGUGACAUGUUCAUCAUGGCAGGCAGAAUGGUGGGGCACUCCUUUGUUCAUGGAGGACCAUGCCUGUCAGGGCUUAGUCCUGCUGUUGUGCAUGUCCUGUUUGGAGGAAGCCCGGAAACUGCAACAGUAACACCAGAGGACUGUCCGGACCUAGACAUCCGUGAAACAAUCAGGCUUCUUGAAGGGGAAUCUGAACUCUCAGACAAGGACAAAACAAGUGUCCAGGAGUUGGCCUACGCUUGGGAUCUCCCUGGCCUUACUGGAAAUAACCGAAGAUGGCUUUUUGAGAAGAUGUUGAUCCAUGCUGUAAUUGGACGUGUCACACGACAAAUCAAACAAUUCAGGCGUGGUCUUAAAGAGACACCAAUGUGGACAUUGCUGACCAAACGACCGGACACAGUGGCCCAGCUUUUUCCACAGGAGAGAGCAGUGGAUUGUGCCUCGCCUUUCGCUUCCCUCUCUGUCUUAAAGCUUGAAGGGAAUCUGAACUCUCAGACAAGGACAAAACAAGUGUCCAGGAGUUGGCCUACGCUUGGGAUCUCCCUGGCCUUACUGGAAAUAACCGAAGAUGGCUUUUUGAGAAGAUGUUGA
rnacentral:lncRNA from 1 species